UAUUUCAUCACAGAGUGGUUAGCGUGUCGUUCUUAUAAUGCGAAAGUCGUGGGUUCGACACCCACCUGGAGUAA
rnacentral:tRNA from 1 species